UAACAAUGAUUUCCCUAGUAACGGCGAGUGAAGAGGAAAGAGCUCAAAGUUGGAACCUGUUUGGCUUAGCUAAACCGGAUUGUAAACUGUAGAAACAUUUUCCAGGCACGCUAGACAAAAAAGUCCUUUGGAACAGGGCAUCAUAGAGGGUGAGAAUCCCGUCUUAAUCUAAGUAGUUGUCUAUUUGUGAUAUGUUUUCAAAGAGUCAGGUUGUUUGGGAAUGCAGCCUAAAUUGGGUGGUAAAUCUCACCUAAAGCUAAAUAUUUGCGAGAGACCGAUAGCGAACAAGUACCGUGAGGGAAAGAUGAAAAGAACUUUGAAAAGAGAGUUAAACAGUAUGUGAAAUUGUUAAAAGGGAACCGUUUGGAGCCAGACUGGCUUGACUGUAAUCAUCCUACUUUUUUUGUGGGUGCACUUGCGGUCUUUGCCUGCCAACAACAGUUUGAUUUGGAGGAAAAAAAUAUUUGGAAUGUGGCCUUUUUCGGAAGGUGUUAUAGCCUUUUAUAUCAUACUCUGGAUUGGACUGAGGAUCGCAGUUAUUGUUUCCGCUUGUUUUUCUUUUGCUGAUAAAUGUUAAAAUUUCUGCUUAGGGUGGUGUUAAUGUUUAAAGGUAAAACUAGGAUGAGUAUUGUGAUAACUUAGGUUGUUGGCUUAAUGACUCUAAAUGACCCGUCUUGAAACACGGACCAA
rnacentral:rRNA from 1 species